GAGGGUUAUCUUCUGUGGUACCAACCCAGAUUAGGAUUUGAAAUUUUGCUUUCUUUUGUUCCUUGUAGUUCUGGCCUCUUGACUUUAAAGUGUGACUAGCUGGUGUAUUUCUAAUUGACUUGCCUGGCCUCCUCGAAGGAGGCUGAGAUCAUCACUGGAAAGAUCUUCGGUGUUCCAAUGUGGAGCAAGAAACAGACUGAAAGCCUUUGAAGGGAUGAGCAUCUUUUGAGGAAGGAAGUUCUGCUCUCGUCUCCAGGAUGAGCACAGCUGUGUCGUGACCCCCGGGGUUUGGUGCGCCCUGGAGAUGCGAAAUCCUCCCUUGGUAGCAGGAAGCACACACCUAGAGGAUGCUGGAGCUGCAGGUGGAAAGGGCCCACUACCACAGCAGAGAAAAGCAAAAAGAAAAAAGGCCUAGGGACAGACAGCGCUGAGGGGCCCCCCCGCAGCUGUGACUGCCCCCCCCCCCCCCCCAGAGGAGCUUGGCGAGCCGUCCCCGUCUGUGACUGUAAGCUCAGGAUUCCGAUCAAUGCAUUCCAGUAACCCUAAAGUGAGGAACUCUCCGUCAGGAAACACACAGAGUAGCCCCAAAUCUAAGCAGGAGGUGAUGGUCCGUCCCCCCACAGUGAUGUCCCCAUCUGGAAACCCCCAGCUGGAUUCCAAAUUCUCCAAUCCGGGUAAACAGGGGGGCUCAGCCAGCCAGUCCCAGCCAUCCCCCUGUGACUCCAAGAGUGGGGGCCACCCCCCCAAAGCACUCCCUGGCCCAGGUGGGAGCAUGGGGCUGAAGAACGGGGCUGGAAAUGGUGCCAAGGGAAAGGGGAGAAGGGAGAGAAGUAUUUCAGCGGACUCGUUUGAUCAGAGGGACGCUGGGACGCCAAAUGAUGACUCUGAAAUCAAAGGUAUGUGGGCCAGACCAUCCAGAGUCCUAGGGAAGCGGGAAGGCCUCGAGGGAAGGCCC
rnacentral:lncRNA from 1 species